GGCACUGUGGCGGAGUGGUUAACGCGACAGAUUAGAACCCCUGAAGUAUAGUGAUCUGUUCCUCUUGUAGGGCGCAUGUUCGAAUCAUGCCAGUGUCG